rnacentral:tRNA from 3 species
GGGCACAUAGCUCAGCUGGUUAGAGCGCUAUCCUCACACGAUAGAGGUCCCUGGUUCGAGUCCAGGCGUGCCCACCC